AUUGAACGCUGGCGGCAGGCUUAACACAUGCAAGUCGAGCGGGGGAAGGUAGCUUGCUACCGGACCUAGCGGCGGACGGGUGAGUAAUGCUUAGGAAUCUGCCUAUUAGUGGGGGACAACAUCUCGAAAGGGAUGCUAAUACCGCAUACGUCCUACGGGAGAAAGCAGGGGAUCUUCGGACCUUGCGCUAAUAGAUGAGCCUAAGUCGGAUUAGCUAGUUGGUGGGGUAAAGGCCUACCAAGGCGACGAUCUGUAGCGGGUCUGAGAGGAUGAUCCGCCACACUGGGACUGAUACACGGCCCGGACUCCUACGGGAGGCAGCAGUGGGGAAUAUUGGACAAUGGGGGGAACCCUGAUCCAGCCAUGCCGCGUGUGUGAAGAAGGCCUUAUGGUUGUAAAGCACUUUAAGCGAGGAGGAGGCUACUUUAGUUAAUACCUAGAGAUAGUGGACGUUACUCGCAGAAUAAGCACCGGCUAACUCUGUGCCAGCCGCCGCAGUAA
rnacentral:rRNA from 1 species